AGCAACCAUCUGGGCUCUUUUCUCUCUAGUACAGAGGGGACCGACAGUUGACUUCUGACAUAAAGUCUUCAGAUGUCAAAUUCCCUGAAGGUGUGUGGGAGAUAGGUGGACAAGAAGGCAUGACAGAGAAAUCUGAAGAUGCAAGACCCAGGCCAAGGUCCAGAGGUCUGCAGUCCUCUGGAAGGGAACAUAGCUUUAGCCUGAUGGAAACAGGGCCACUGUCACACGAGAAGAGAGGAAAGAGUUAAGAGUCCAGAAUCCACGAGCAAUUGUAUCGUCACCCACAAGCCAGCAGCCCCAGUGCUCCACCUCUUCCUUGCCUGAAUCAGCUGGUCUCCCCACAUGGACUGGACCACACCGGCCACCUCAUACUUGGCCUGCAAGGAGGCCACCUGGGAGGCCCCGCUGCCAACCACCGGACCAACAACUCCAUUCACACAACAGGGGCCCCUGCCCUGCC